GUUAUAUUUAAGUGGAAAUAUUCACUUUUUGUGUUUUAUUCAUUUUAAUUUUUAUAAUGUUAAAAAACCCAACAUUCUGAAGUGAGGAUAAGAAUAAAUAAACAUUAAAAAAUCUAGACCCAAGGUGACUCAGGGACAUUAUUAUAAGAGAUUUAGUAUCCUUGAACUAAAGUAGCUAAAGGCAAAGAAUGAUUUACUUGAGAAUUCCCAAAUAAUCAUUUUUAAUUUCUAUACUUAUUUUCUUUAGAAUCUGUUCCUGAUAACAGAUGGAAUAGAGAUCACUGAAAUACAAAUAUAUAAUAUGUUUUACACAUCUGAAUCUGAAGAAGGGACAUGAAAGAAGACAGAGAAAUUACUCUAGGAAGAAUUUCAGUUCAGCAGAGUAUUUUGCAUUAAAAAUGGUAAAAUUAUUUCCUGACUUGGAAAGAAGAAAAAUUGGUGAACAAUGAACUGAGAUCUAAGACAGUUUAGAAGAGUGCACAGUUGCCUUCAGUAAAUUCAAGGAACUGGUCCAAGGUGAACUACAUUCUGUAGAGAAUAAGAGAAUAUCACUACUUAACACAUAAAUGGUUUUUAAAAAAAGAUUAUUGGGAGUGAAAUGAGAUGGACAAAUGUGCUGGGGUUUUGAAAAUGGAAAGCAGCUUGGCUUUUUGGAAUUAUGUCAAGACAGAUGGAUCUUAUAGAACACAGAAUGGGAGUCUCCAGGAAGAGAGAAGAAGGGAGAUAUGGCGGUUUUCCAAUGGAAGCAGGAUGACAAUGACAACAGCUACUGCCAGCCAAAUUUGCAGUACAUUUCUUUAAGACCACAAGACAUGGUCUUCUUAAUGGGCAAGUUGGGAGGUACAUGUAUAUUGUGGAUUUUUAUCUUUCAUUCACUUUGGUAGCAGGAGUGCUGAGACUCACCUGGCUUC
rnacentral:lncRNA from 1 species